rnacentral:rRNA from 1 species
AACGCGAAGAACCUUAGCUGGGCUAGAAUGCAUGUGCCAACUCCAGAGAUGGAGCCUUUUAGGGAAACCUAGACAGAGUGCAAGGUGCUGCAUGGCAGUCGUCAGCUAGCGUCCUGUGAUGUUGGGUUAAGUCCUGCAACGAGCGCAUCCCUUAUCGAUAGUUGCUAGCCGGUUCGUCCGAGCACUCUAUUGAGAGUGCAGCUGACAAAACGGAGGAAGGUGGGGAUGAAGUUAAGUCCUCCUGUCCUUUAUGUCCAGGGCUACGCACGUGCUACAAUGGUCGAUACAAAGCGGUGCAAGCUCUCGAGAGGGAGCCGAUCGCAAAAAGCCGGUAUCAGAUCGGAUGAGAGUCAGCAAGUCGACUCCCUGUAGCUGGAAUAGCUC